rnacentral:rRNA from 1 species
GAUGAACGCUGGCGGCGUGCCUAAUACAUGCCAGUCGAGCGAACGGACGAGAAUCUUGCUUCUCUGAUGUUAGCGGCGGACGGGUGAGUAACACGUGGAUAACCUACCUAUAAGACUGGGAUAACUUCGGGAAACCGUAGCUAAUACCGGAUAAUAUUUUGAACCGCAUGGUUCAAAAGUGAAAGACGGUCUUGCUGUCACUUAUAGAUGGAUCCGCGCUGCAUUAGCUAGUUGGUAAGGUAACGGCUUACCAAGGCAACGAUGCAUAGCCGACCUGAGAGGGUGAUCGGCCACACUGGAACUGAGCCACGGUCCAGACUCCUACGGGAGGCAGCAGUAGGGAAUCUUCCGCAAUGGGCGAAAGCCUGACGGAGCAACGCCGCGUGAGUGAUGAAGGUCUUCGGAUCGUAAAACUCUGUUAUUAGGGAAGAACAUAUGUGUAAGUAACUGUGCACAUCUUGACGGUACCUAAUCAGAAAGCCACGGCUAACUACGUG